UUUCGUGCUAGGCAACUGAGGAAGCUCAACAUCUAAAAAAGUUGAUACAAGACUAUAUUGCUUCUUUCAUCAAAGUAGGAGAUAAGGUUGGUGCUUCUAAAUUUCUAAAGUUCAAGUACAAUUUAGCUGAACAACAAAGCAUGAGUGAGACCGUUCAGCAAAUCAAAGAACAAGUGAUGAACCUCGCUCGUCGACCUACUACUUCAACUCCCGAUGACACCGACGACGAGAGUG